AAAAUUCACAAGUUAUUUUUGUUCCUGGCUGUCUUUCUCAUAUAAACGGUACAAAAGUACUGGCAACUGAGAAGUUUUGUGAAUCUCUAGGCCACGCCUUAUAAGAUAUGAUCACUUAGGAGUUGGAAGUACGGAUGGUAAUUUAUGAGAACCACAGUGUAGAAAUAGAGGAAUUAUGUUCCCUUUAGAAUCUCAGAUGCAGGUGGAUCCAGACUAGCUGGGUGGCUUCUUUUUAAUGUUGCAAUUGAACGUCCAGAAAAGAUAGUUGCUCCUUGGUAGAACCACAGCUAUAAAUGGUAUAGAAAUACAAUUUAGUGAACUUUUCCUUGCUGAUGUAGGAGGAACAAAAGGAGGUGAUGGGUGAUGUCACCAAAACACAACAAAAGAGUGCCUCAUUUUUUCAAGAGUUUCGUUAAUGAAGCCAGGUCCUGGUGCUUGUUGGACAGCCCGCUGCUUGUGGGAAUGCCUCCAGGCACGAGGAGUGGUGCCCUUCUUGGCAUUCACUCAUGCAAAAUGGCUAACCCAGUCAUCUGUACAGAUACAGAUGUCAUCCUCUGUCAAAAGAGUGAUCAUCAAAUGAAGGAGAUAAAGAACAUUGAACUUUGUAUUUAUA
rnacentral:lncRNA from 1 species